rnacentral:lncRNA from 1 species
CUCUGACUGCCUUGAAGUGAGACUGAACUAUUUGUUUCCUGUGCCAGUGUUGGUGUCACUUGGACACAAACUCCCACGUUGCUGCUUUCACCUAAAUCUGAGGAUCAGCCAGCUAUUAACUCACAACCUGCUCUGCUGCUCACUGUGAAGACUGCUCACUGUUCACUCACUGGCAGGGUUGUGAAGUGUUUAUAAACGAGCUGAGAAGCUGCAAUUCUCCUCCAGCUCUGCCAGCUCCAGGAGGUACUCACUGCAUAUCAUGGUUAUCCCUCUGACACUGAGAAACCAUCUCCAAAUGAAGAUCUGAGGGACUGAGAUGAUGACAAAGGAAGUAUCCUGGAAAGACAAGCAUCCCUGCACAGAGACAUCUGCUUCCCAAUCCCCAAGUGUUGCUAUAAACAAUGGAGAUGGCAGUUCACGCGCCUGGAAUCCUUUACAGCUCCUACCUGCAGAAGCACAGCUUGACCAGAAAUAGCCCAGGCUGGCUGUCAGUGGCAUUCAGAGCUGCACAGCAGAAGAGGAAAAACAACUCCCUUUCUUCAGCAUUGUACCCAUUCUUCACAGACUGAGAUAAGGAAGUUGAAGACUACAUACAAACAGAUAGUAUGUUUCAAUACUGCUUUAUCAUGACCUGCAUUUCUUUAGGAGCACCUCCAAACUUUUCAUAGUUUUAGUGUCAACUCCAAACUCCAGACGUCCAUAUUUAUUCUCUUGCUGUCCUGUGAUCAAAGAUAGACCUUGAAUGAGCUGCAUUUUGAUGGUUGAGCUAGAAACCUGUGACAGAAUGUGGCAUAAAUGCAUCUCACCUGAGACCUCACCUUACUGAGUAACAUUAGGGAAAACAGAGGAGUGGAAGAGCUGCAUACAAGAAAAAUUGAAUUUGUCUGGUCACACGAUGGAGAAAGGGCCAUGAUGUGUCCCUGCAUCAUGGGGAGCUAUGGGAG